AGCCUUACUUUCAUGCCCUUCUUCACAGUGUACUCAUCAGCACGGCAUAAGGAAAGAGCAGACACGGCUCCUGCCCUCAUAAUGCUUACAGUCUACAGAACAGUGCUGGGGACACAGUCCUGAGUGUUGCCUUCUGAUCAACCACUUACAGUCUCCUGGGAGAUUAAGAUGAGUGAUCUAGAGGAGGAAGAUGUUGAUGAAUUCAGCUCCAGUGGUUUUAAGUGCCCAACAUGCUUUGCAGUGCAAGGAAGGAAAUGCGAUACAGAACUCAAAUGGUGUGCAGCAGAUAAAAUAAAGUGUAUUGAAUUCUCUGGCAUCAUAAACACAGGUAUUCGUGACGUAGCCAUUGAAAUGAAGAGAUGCACACAAGCAGACCUAUGCAAAGAGACGAUAACUUCUUAGAUGGGUUUUCCAAUUGCUAACAAGAGUAGAAAUUGCAAAUCAGCCAUCAGAAAUGGGGCCAGAAUCAGACCCCCAUCUCCCAUCUUCUUUGUUCUUUUCCUGGGGAGGGUACUUCAUGGAGCUCUGGCAAGAGCCUAGCCACUUCCAUUUAUGAAUUAAACCUGAAUUUUUUUGUUAA
rnacentral:lncRNA from 10 species